rnacentral:rRNA from 1 species
AGUGAACGCUGGCGGCAGGCCUAACACAUGCAAGUCGAACGGCAGCACAGUAAGAGCUUGCUCUUACGGGUGGCGAGUGGCGGACGGGUGAGGAAUACAUCGGAAUCUUCUUUUUCGUGGGGGAUAACGUAGGGAAACUUACGCCAAUACCGCAUACGACCUACGGGUGAAAGCAGGGGAUCUUCGGACCUUGCGCGAUUGAAUGAGCCGAUGUCGGAUUAGCUAGUUGGCGGGGUAAAGGCCCACCAAGGCGACGAUCCGUAGCUGGUCUGAGAGGAUGAUCAGCCACACUGGAACUGAGACACGGUCCAGACUCCUACGGGAGGCAGCAGUGGGGAAUAUUGGACAAUGGGCGCAAGCCUGAUCCAGCCAUACCGCGUGAGUGAAGAAGGCCUUCGGGUUGUAAAGCCCUUUUGUUGGGAAAGAAAAGCAGCAGGUGAAUACCCCGCUGUUCUGACGGUACCCAAAGAAUAAGCACCGGCUAACUUCGUG